GACGAACGCUGGCGGCGCGCUUAACACAUGCAAGUCGAACGGAAAGGCCUGCUUUCCCUUGUGGAUUGCGGGUACUCGAGUGGCGAACGGGUGAGUAACACGUGAGUGAUCUGCCCCCAACUUGGGUAUAAGCCUGGGAAACUGGGUCUAAUUCCCGAUAGGACUGCAGGGUGGUGCCUGUGAUGGAAAACGAUUUUCUAGUGGUUGGGGAUGAGCUCGCGGCCUAUCAGCUUGUUGGUGGGGUAAUGGCCUACCAAGGCGGCGACGGGUAGCCGGCCUGAGAGGGUGGACGGCCACAUUGGGAUUGAGAUACGGCCCAGACUCCUACGGGAGGCAGCAGUGGGGAAUAUUGCACAAUGGGCGGAAGCCUGAUGCAGCGACGCCGCGUGGGGGAUGACGGCCUUCGGGUUGUAAACUCCUUUCGACCGCGAGGAAGCCACCUGGUUGGAAGGGUGGUGACGGUAGUGGUAGAAGAAGCACCGGCUAACUACGU
rnacentral:rRNA from 1 species